rnacentral:rRNA from 1 species
GGGGAACCCUGAUGCAGCGAUGCCGCGUGAGUGAAGAAGGCCCUUGGGUUGUAAAGCUCUUUCGUCGGGGAAGAAAAUGACUGUACCCGAAUAAGAAGGUCCGGCUAACUUCGUGCCAGCAGCCGCGGUAAUACGAAGGGACCUAGCGUAGUUCGGAAUUACUGGGCUUAAAGAGCUCGUAGGUGGUUAGAAAAGUUGGUGGUGAAAUCCCAAGGCUUAACCUUGGAACUGCCACCAAAACUUUUUAACUAGAGUAUGAUAGAGGUAAGUGGAAUUUCUAGUGUAGAGGUGAAAUUCGUAGAUAUUAGAAAGAACACCAAUUGCGAAGGCAGCUUUCUGGAUCAUUACUGACACUGAGGAGCGAAAGCAUGGGUAGCGAAGAGGAUUAGAUACCCUCGUAGUCCAUGCUGUAAACGAUGUGUGCUAGAUGUUGGAAACUUUGUUUUCAGUGUCGCAGCAAAAGCGUUAAGCACACCGCCUGGGGAGUACGACCGCAAGGUUAAAACUCAAAUGAAUUGACGGGGACCCGCACAAGCAGUGGAGCAUGUGGUUUAAUUCGAAGAUACGCGCAGAACCUUACCAACACUUGACAUGUUCGUCGCGAGCCUAAGAAAUUAGGUUCUUCAUUUAGUUGGACGAAACACAGGUGCUGCAUGGCUGUCGUCAGCUCGUGUCGUGAGAUGUUGGGUUAAGUCCCGCAACGAGCGCAACCCUUACUUUUAGUUGCCACCAUUAAGUUGAGCACUCUAAAAGAACUGCCAGUGAUAAGCUGGAGGAAGGUGGGGAUGACGUCAAGUCCUCAUGGCCCUUAUGUGUUGGGCUACACACGUGCUACAAUGGUACUUACAAUGAGACGCGAAGAGGCGACUCCAAGCCAAUCUCAAAAAGGUACCUCAGUUCGGAUUGUACUCUGCAACUCGAGUACAUGAAGCUGGAAUUGCUAGUAAUCGCGGAUCAGCGCGCCGCGGUGAAUACGUUCCCGGGUCUUGUACACACCGCCCGUCACACCAUGGAAGUUGGUUACACCUUAAGGCAAUAUGUUAACCUUCGGGAAACAUUUGACUACGGUACGAUCAGCAACUGGGGUGAAGUCGUAACAAGGUAGCCGUAGGGGAACCUGCGGCUG